rnacentral:rRNA from 1 species
GAUGAACGCUGGCGGCGUGCUUAACACAUGCAAGUCGAACGGAAAGGCCCAAGCUUGCUUGGGUACUCGAGUGGCGAACGGGUGAGUAACACGUGGGUGAUCUGCCCUGCACUUCGGGAUAAGCCUGGGAAACUGGGUCUAAUACCGGAUAGGACCACAUUUUGGAUGGUGUGGUGGAAAGUUUUUCGGUGUGGGAUGAGCUCGCGGCCUAUCAGCUUGUUGGUGGGGUAAUGGCCUACCAAGGCGUCGACGGGUAGCCGGCCUGAGAGGGUGUACGGCCACAUUAGGACUGAGAUGCGGCCCAGACUCCUACGGGAGGCAGCAGUGGGGAAGAUUGCACAAUAGGCGCAAGCCUGAUGCAGCGACGCCGCGUGGGGGAUGACAGCCUUCGGGUUGUAAACUCCUUUCGCUAGGGACGAAGCGCAAGUGACGGUACCUGGAGAAGAAGCACCGGCUAACUACGUG